rfam:Escherichia coli ISC11, WGS project CBWP01000000 data, contig: c25
ACCUGCGCUUCCAUUUCACGGUCAGACAGGCCACCGCAGAUCUGGAUAAUACGGUCAGACAGCGUCGAUUUACCGUGGUCGAUGUGAGCUAUGAUUGAAAAGUUACGUAUGUUCUUCAUAUAGUGUAAUUAUUGUGCCUUACGCCCGCCUGAGCAGGCUCUGAGAAGUCGCUGUUCUGAGCUUAACGUCUGUUUAAGUGAAACGCCGCAUUCUACACUACAACGCUGAGGCGAGGAAAUGUUCAUAGAGCAAGGAUAGCGGGAACUGGAAACAACUUUGCAAAGUCGAUGAAACUUUUGUCGGAUGGCGACAUAAACGCCUUAUCCGGCCUACGCCUGCAUCUGAGGACGCUGUAGGCCUGAUAAGCGCAGUGCCAUCAGGCAAAGAUAUCACUGCUGGGUUUCGACGCGAAUAAGAUCGGGUGGGAGAGCAACGUUCAGAAUGACCGGCUGCCAGGCUUCGCGUUCAGCAAGCUUACGAGAGUAUCCACGAGCAAUCAGGAAUCCGCCCACGCCCCCCAGCACUGCUCCGCUUAAUGCCGCAAGAUCGGAACCAAACAGCACCUGGAAUAGCGCCGCGAAAAGAAACAGUCCCGCCAACGGAGACAUGUAGACCAGCAUCGCCGAACCGAGCAGGCUACCUUCGGCAAUGCCCAGUUCAACUUUUUGACCAGGGGUCAAGGGUUCGUCGCAGGGCACCACGAUGGUGUGUGUGGUCUGUGGUCCCAGUUUGUUCAGCACGCGGCUCCCGCAUCCGGCCCGGGAAGCACAGCUGCUACAUGAUGCUUUAACAUCACAGCUGACCGUCGCCAGACCAUUUUGCCAGGAGACGACCGUCGCCCACUCUUUAAUCAUUGUGCUGCCCUGAACUUAAUAUUGUCCGCGAUACGC